GAUGAACGCUGGCGGCGUGCCUAAUACAUGCAAGUCGAGCGAACAGACGAGGAGCUUGCUCCUCUGACGUUAGCGGCGGACGGGUGAGUAACACGUGGAUAACCUACCUAUAAGACUGGGAUCACUUCGGGAAACCGGCGCUAAUACCGGAUAAUAUAUUGAACCGCAUGGUUCAAUAGUGAAAGACGGUUUUGCUGUCACUUAUAGAUGGAUCCGCGCCGCAUUAGCUAGUUGGUAAGGUAACGGCUUACCAAGGCAACGAUGCGUAGCCGACCUGAGAGGGUGAUCGGCCACACUGGAACUGAGACACGGUCCAGACUCCUACGGGAGGCAGCAGUAGGGAAUCUUCCGCAAUGGGCGAAAGCCUGACGGAGCAACGCCGCGUGAGUGAUGAAGGUCUUCGGAUCGUAAAACUCUGUUAUUAGGGAAGAACAAAUGUGUAAGUAACUAUGCACGUCGUGACGGUACCUAAUCAGAAAGCCACGGCUAACUACGUG
rnacentral:rRNA from 1 species